CAAUAGCGUAUAUUAAAGUUGUUGCGGUUAAAAAGUUCGUAGUUGGAUUUCUGCCAAGGACGACCGGUCCGCCCUCUGGGUGAGUAUCUGGCUUGGCCUGGGCAUCUUCUUGGAGAACGUUGCUGCGCUUCACUGCGUGGUGCGGUAUCCAGGACUUUUACUUUGAGGAAAUUAGAGUGUUUCAAGCAGGCUUCCGCCUUGAAUACAUUAGCAUGGAAUAAUAAGAUAGGACUUCGGUCUAUUUUGUUGGUUGCGAACCGAGGUAAUGAUUAAUAGGGAUAGUUGGGGGUAUUCAUAUUUAAUUGUCAGAGGUGAAAUUCUUGGAUUUAUGAAAGAUGAACAACUGCGAAANCANNNACCAAGGAUGUUUUCAUNAA
rnacentral:rRNA from 1 species